GGACGUAGGCCUAAAAUAUUUUAUUUUAGGAAGUCAAGUAAUGGUUCCUGUCACCGAAACAGUUAAUCAAAAAGCACUAACUCUCUACUGGAACGUGUGUGUGCGUGCAUGUGUGUGUGUGUGUGUUUUUGUUUUUUUAGAGCCAAGAAGAUUUGCUUUGGUUUUUUUAAAGCAGAAACCACCACAAAGUUGGCUGUGGUUUCAGCUGCUCUCGCUCGAGAUUUGUAUUGCUGACUACCAAUCCUAAAAGAGUUAACCUGGUAAGUAUGACUCAGAAGCAGAGAAGGAGAUGCGAGGCUGAGAGCCGUGGAGGCAGCACAGAAACAAGAGGUGAGCAACAGAAUAAUUGCCAAAAAAAGGUGCAGAGUCCAGGAGCGACGCUCCCUCCGGUCUGCCUGGCCCUGGCACCGCUGGCACGGGCUCCCUGGAAAGCUGCAGUUCCGCUCUUAUAACACAGGGAGCAGGCUGGAGAAUUUAGAGCUGCGUCACAGAGCUCAGCGAGAGAGUGAGAGAGCAAGCUCCGUCGAUAGGUCUACCAGCAACAGCCCUGCUGCAGCAAGAGGGGAGAGAGGCAGCAAGAGAGGCAGAGAGGGCUCCAGGAAGAGAAGUACCACCAACACCACGGGCUGGGCUCCUGCCACCAUCCACUGUCACCUGGACAUCGUACUCGGGCUCGGUUGGCGUAGGAGGCUUCGCCCAUUGACGAUGCUGGAGACCCGGCGCGCUUAAUCCCGCGGGGAGGGAGAGUGGGCAGACACCGAAAGGGUUAACGGAAAGGAAAUUUCUGGAACCUUCUAUUCUGCGGCGCUCCACAGCGAGCGGAGGGCUGAGGACUGCGCAGAUGGUGCACGGGCACAGCUCUUCGGUCCGGUUCGCCUUUCUCACCGACCAGCAAUGAAGAUGGCAGCUCUGCCUGGAGGUGCUGAGGACACAACCAGCCUUGAGCUUGGUCCUUCUGGCCGAGGAAGUCUCCCGAUUAUGCAGUGGAGUGGUAACUUUGCUUUCUCAUAUGGCAGGGAACAUUAUUCCAUAGCCUUUCAUCAUCCCGAGGCUUAAACAAGUUUAAGGAUGUGAUAGCAUAAGCGUUUAAUCUAUAUUACUCACUCGUUGACAUCUCAAGCGUCAGGGCUGGUUGUUUAGCAACAACCGCUGGGCUCGGAACCGGCUCAGACACAGCGCGUCCGCCGUCUCCAUCACUUCAGCUGUAGCCUGUCCCCUGCAUGGUGCUCUGAGGGAAAGAGAGAAGGGUUGUACCUCCACCAUACCCCCGCCCCGACCGAAUUUUGGGGGUUUGGUGGCGCAGGCCGCAGGCGCUGCGGUUUUCUCGCCGGCUCCGUCCCUUUGCGCAGUUCCGCGGAGGGGAGGACGCCAUUUCCAACGGCACUGCGGUGGUAGGAACGGGGAGGGAAGAACCAAACAGGCACUACGUGCCACUCCCCACUUUUCUUCCCCUCUUUCCCCAUCUCCACCUUUCUUCCUUCCCUUCCUUUUCUGCCAGAUUCCGUAGGGAAUUUCAGACUCUUACUGCAGUCGUCACAACCCCUCCUGACUCACUGAGCCUUCGCUGGCUGUAGCUGGCUCCCUUGGAGCAUCCUUGCCUCCUGCAGCGCCAGAUCCGCAGAGCAGGGGAACAACAGGAAUAGCAGUGACGACGGUGGUCCCUGCAGCGAGACAGACAGGCAUAAAUACACACACAUGCAGGAACAGUCCGAGGCAGCCGUGGAGGGAAUUCUGUACAGCUGGGAGCUGGACUAAGCCAUGACUGCUCGGUUGCGUGGAAGACGGGUGGGUUGAGUCUCUUUUCCUGAGUGUUGGCUGCAUGGACAACUCUUUGUGGUUUUCCCGUCACAGUUGUGGAGUGGAGGACCCCAUAAUUUGUAAAGCUAGUGCUGCUUCGUGACAUUUCUCAGUGCUUUAGAGGAGGUGCCACUAGCAGCUGGUUCAGUGUUCAGUGCAGGGGUGUACUUGAUUAAAUUCCCUUUGCCACCAUUUUUUUUUGCCACAGUUAGUUUAACUGCGACUGAACACAGGGAGGGUAAGGAGACACAGAUAAAAGAGGAGUUAUUUCAAUGUUAAACUUCAGCUGUAAAUCUCAUUACUCAGGAAUUGAGGUUACUGUCAGCAGGUAAAUCUGUGGGACUGGCAAGAAACAAGGCUAAGAAGGGGACAUGGCAUAUUUCUGUAGGACAGCAGUGACUACGUGCACAGGGGUGGCACUGUCGCUUGUGAGCUGUACGUGGCUAACUGUUCCAUUAUCGUUUUCUGGGUAUUGCCACAAAACAGCUCGGGAAAGCUGUGAUUUCUCCCUCCCUCCGACACUUGUGUGUGUGCCACCGUGUAAGCUGAUUCAUUUUUGCGUGUGUCUGGGUUUCCUUGCCCUGGGCAGUGGGGUUUGCUGCGUGCCUCGGCCCCGGUGCAGCACUGACGCAGCGUUCGUUAGCGCGCCGGCCCUCGUUGACAAAACACACGCAGUUUUCUCGGCCGUUCUGACCGCUCAAGGGCCGCGAAACUCGGGCGAGGAAGUUCAGGAUUGCAAAUGCUCAUGAUGUGAACUUACUUAAAUGCAAUAGCAUCCUAUUCUUUGCUAGUGGAGGAAGGCUCUGUGAGUGACGAGACAGCCACGAUCUGCCCCUGCACUUGUUUUGCCGAUGGUCAUGUUACAUCUGUGACGCAGACGAAUUUUGCUGUUGGUUCCUGCCUGUGCUUUAGGGAGUCGGGCUGAUGAGGGCACAAGCUUGAAUAUGGUUAGAAACGUUAAUUUAAUAUUGAUGCUACAAGUUCAAACCAUACCUGAAGGGUCGGGGGUAUUGGAUCCACCUAUUUCACGGCCCCAAAUGGCGAAGGAAUUCGGAUGAACACAACAGCACCCCUGGCCAUUUUGUUGCUCGCAGAGUAGACUCAGAGCCUGCAGCUCUGCUGCUGCUGCUGCUGUUCAUUUCCAUGUUAUACAAAUACAGCGUUGGGCUCGGUGUCAGGAGCUUUCCUGAUGCCGUGAGAAGCUUAAAGUCUACCAGCAAAUGUUUUUCUUAUUUGGGAAGAUUAAUUAAAAUGACCAAAUGCCAAGUAUUCUACCCUCACUCCUCUCACAAAUCACUUCCAGAAAAUUCAGUGGUGCCGUGUAUGUUUUUUAAAACUUAAUCACGGUGUUUUCUUAUAGUUUAAUAUGGGUGUGACUGGGGGAGAGGGUAAGAUUUAAUUUGGUAAAUAGCUGUAAUGCUGAUGUUAAUGGACAAGUACGUAGGCAAGAGAUAGUUGUCCACAUCCUCUAUACAUCUGCAUAUAGAUACAGACAGUCCCAAGCCCAGGUUGUGAAGAUGCCCUCGUUACAAAAUGAGAAGGGACUCCUCUGGCCCAUUCUCACCCACCCAAACGUUUCAGUGCAAAGGCAGCAGUAGAAAAGGCCAGGUUGGACUCUCAAGCUCACAAAAUGGUUCCACCAGCACUCCGAGAUGCCAGUGCCGUUUAUACUGGCACGGCUCCGAGAGCGGCACCGCGAGCUGCCUGCUGCAAGGUCAUUCCCCUGACUCAUGGUCAGCAACCAGUUGGUUCAGGAACUCCCAAUCCACUUUUCUUGCAUCUGUGGCAGUGCUCGAAUCCUGAGCUUGAUAAUUAGCAUUACUGCAGCAGUGGACUACUGAGCCCAAAACUGUAGCUCCAAAAAAGUCCCAUGUCUCUGAAGCAUUUUAAAAUCCGUAUCUGUAUCUGCUUCUUGUGCUAACUGCAAAACCUUUGCACUAGUUCCCUCAUCCCCUUUUCCUCCAAAACUUCAAAAACUUUGCACUACUUCCCUCAUCCCCUUUUCCCCCAAGACUUCCUCUGGACUGCUGGGAAUCAGCAGUGGCGUGUGUUUAGGGAGAUACACUCUGUUCCAGAAAAAAAAAAAAAAAAAAAGAAGUGUCUGUGUAUAUUUGCAUUUCUGUGCUCGUUAGCAGGUGGACUCUGCAGGCUCUCUAAGUUCACCACUGUCUGCCAAGCCAGUGGUGUCUCUCUGGUGCUUUCAGUUUUAAGUACCUCAGCUCAGGAGCUGUCUUGUCCCCUCCCAGGUUUCCACAUUUUUCUCCAGCGUUCCUAUUUGUCCACAAUUUGUCACUCUUUAUUUUCAGUGGCCUCAGGACAGCAUUGGCCGUGGAUGUGCUUAGGGCUGGCUCUAGUUGUCUCAGCUUCACAGGCAGCAGUGGAAUGGUUAAUGCCUCUGAGCAAAGUAAUUUAUUUAGUGCCCAAAGUUCAAUUUGGGGGCAUGUUAUCUGGCUCCUUUUGAACAGAGGGGGCAGAGCAGGCCAAGCAGGGACAAGAGCAGGGACCCUUCCUGCUCCCAGUGUUGCCAACCCACUUCCCCAAGCCCCCAGCCCUGGGCAGCCUCCUCACAAUCGGCCUCAGCCUUCUGUAUCAUUAUUCCCUGGUUUCCAAAGGUAAAAACCUGGCUGCUAAUCCUGAUGCCAGUGACGACUCUUCGCCUACAGGGAGGCAUAUGUGAUGGCUUGUCUGCUAAAAACUGAGCCAACACAGUGUGAUUCAGCCCUCCAGCUUUCCAAGGAAUAGAGCUAUUUCUGAGUUGAGCACAUCUCUUCAGCCCCCCACACAAACAUUCACGGGGUGCACACAAGUCCAGCAGCAGCCACAGGGUUUGGAUUUGGCUGUAGAGCUCAAAUGUUUCUUAAAUAUUCUCAAACAUACAGUGAAAUCUUCAGUGAUAAGAGUGCUGGAAAUCCUGGGAACAGGUACAAACCAGCAGCUCGGGGAGUCAGUCAGGGGUUUGGUCAGUGCUUUUCUCUAGCUAUUUUGCCAGGUCCUUCUACUGCAGAUAGUGCUGAACUAAAGGUUUGUUUUCAAAUAUCUGGUUUAAAGGCAGGUUAUACUUCAGUGAACAUCUGGCAGUAUUUGUUUCCUUAUGCUCCUCACUGGCACAGGACAUUCUUUUGUCUCUUGAACGACACAAAAGAAAAAUAUGACUUCCCUUGACAUUACCUAAAGGAGCUGGAAUGGUGGCCUUGGGGGAACACCAUGUUCCUGAACUGACUACACAAAUCACAGCAAUCAUCUCCCUGUGACUGCUCUCAAGCCCUGCAAUCAAUACUUUAUAUUCUAAGGUGAUGCUUAGGUACAGAAGUUGGGAAUAGAAAAUGGCUUUUCUGGUUUCAGCUCCUUAGGAGGAUCAUUUCUUUGAGUGUAGUUAGUUUUGCAAUGUGCUGCUCACUCAAGCUGUGUAGGGCUCUAAAUUCGAUGAGUUUUCAUGGCUGUACUUUCCUACCGCUCUCCCCUGACCUCAGCCAUGUAAGUGCAGUGCUCUUCUUCCCCCUGUGUGAGUCUGCCUGCUUUCACCUCACUGUUCCUCAGGAAAUCUGAAAUCCUACCCAGGAUCCAGAGGUUCAGCAGCUCCUGUGACCUCCAAACACGCUGUGGGUUUCCCACGGAAAGGUGGAACAAAACUGUGACUCCAGACAAGUCACAGCAAUUUCAGAGGAGCGGAGGGGAAUCACAAGAUUAGGAACUGCAGCACUAAUAAUAUCUCAGCACACCUAGAACAAUCACCAUGCUAAAACUGCUCCCUCCAGUUCAGACCAGCUUUGGGACAAGCAAUAGCAAAUAAAAUGUUACACGCAGUUAAGAGUCUGAACCAGAGGUCUGGGAUUUAAAAACACAACAGGUCUUGUGAAUAAAUCCUCAUUAUUUUAGUGAUAUUGCUCUGCUAUGAGCUAUCACCAAGUUUCUCCAAAAGAGUUGUAAUCUACAAAUUAAAGGUCUCUUGUACUGUUUUUUAGCCUCCUUUUCAGACCCAUGCACCACAGAAAGCGUGGAUCAGCAAGGCAGAACCAUAAAAUGAAGGCUAGUGUGGUCCAUCACCAUCACCCAGAGUGCCUGGGUCAGUGUUAAGUGUUGAAUUAUCUUGCCCUGAAAGUGAGGUUUGCUGCAUCCAACCCACCAAUUCCUGUCUCUCAAUGCCAACUGCCAGACGUGGCUCAGCAUUGGAAAAUCCUGGUUGGCACCAAACCCAUGUUGGGAAUGAGCUCUAUCAACUCAGUCAGAGCAGCAGGAAUUAACCCCCCACCAGUGGGUUUUCAGGGCUAAGAUGCACCUCUCAGACCUCAUCACAAGCCAAAUUUCAGCCAUCACAGACACCCCCCACCACCUGACCUGCCCAAGAUUAUCUGGAAAAGCCAACAAGCAAAGAAAAACCCUCACCCCAAAACCCUGAACCAUUUUAAAAGAUGGGUCAGAAGAGUGGGCAGCUUUCUGACAGUUCAGCACAGACAUGCUGGUGAGUGCUCUGACAGAUCCCCCUCAAUACGAAUCAAAAUUAGUGACUCAAAUGUCAAGCAGGCCCGACUGUCCCAUUGCUCAGAGUGAAAUGGGACACAAGGCUGCACAGGCUUUUACCCCCAGCAUGUCCCAGUCUGGUGUUCAGCCUGCCUUGGGGUGGUUUUUUUUGGGGGGGGGGGUUGCAGACCCAAAGUGUCUGGCUUUUAAAUCUAUUUAAUGUUACAGCUGUAAGGCUGCAAUAGUAGGACUAAAGCAACAGGCUGUGUUCAACUCAUGACUGUAAUGCAGAGCUUUUAUUGUGAUCCCGAACAGGGAAAAAAAAAAUCUCCAUUAUGCUUUAAACUCUCGAGAGAAGUACAUGUCUUUGUUGCCUGUAACAGCAGCAGCAUCUCCAGAGCCAUUUCUAGUCACAAGCAUCAACUUUACUAAGCAGUGCAGCAUCUCCUCUGCCUUUCCUCAGCCCAGGCCAGCGCUGCUGACCCGCAGAGCGUUACAGACUCAGGCCUGGCUCAGGCUGCAAGUUAAGGCAUAUUUGUCCAUACCUGACCCAGGCAGCAGCACACAGCACCAGACCUGCACAACAAACAGAUGCAGUUACAAGCUCCUCCGGGCUCAGGAAGCUUUUUUUUGAAACCUUAGAAGUUCACUCAUUUCAACUCCCCUUACAGGUCACCACUUGUACUGUCACACCCCUCCGUCCCACACCUGGCCUUGGGCUGACUCAUUCCUUCACUGGGAGGAUGAUGCAUCAAGCUCAGCCUUUCUGCAUGUGAAACAGGAAUAUUUCUCUCCAGGGGAGACCAGAGUCUGAUGAACCACAAGUUUCACCCCGUGAUUUGAAAAGGGAGGGAAAAAAAAAUCUAUGGUGCACACAGGGUCACACAGAGAUCGGUUUCACUUACUGUAAAUGCCCCAGAAAUGCCUUUAUUUAAAAGGUGCAGGUUGUGAAAAAUCAAGUCUGUGACAUCCAGGCUUGCCUUGUUCCUGCAGACUAAAGGUCUUAGGCUAGAAAGGAAGUUCCCUUUCACGGGGAAGGCAGGGAUGCCCUUUCUGCCUUUGUGUCCUAUAGAUGUGUAAAACAGUGUGAAGUCCAUGAAAGGCUUUGAGAUGUUCCUCUGAAAGAAGGGCCCUGCUACCAAAACAUCUGAAAAGGAGGGAAAACCCAGAACCACAAUAGUGUACUUCUCCUCCUAUUAUUUACUGAAAACUCCAGACCACUUUGACUAAGUCAACCGACAGUAUUUGCCUGUCUCCACACGUGUGUCCACAUGUACAACACAACCAGAAAAUGUUUGAGGAAAGUCCUGGUUUAUUUUCUUCCCUGGGAGGGUGGGGAGGCCCUGGCACAGGUUGCCCAGAGAAUCUGUGGUUGCCUCAUCCCUGCAAGUGUCCAAGGCCAGGUUGGACAGGGCUUGGAGCAACCUGGGCUCGUGGAAGGUGUCCCUGCCCAUGGCAGGGGGUGGAACAAGACGAGCUUUAAGGUCCCUUCCAAGCAAAGCAUCCUGUGAUUCUAUUUCCCUGCACAUGCACAUAUUCCCAGUCAGGUGCUGUGUAUCACAGCAUCCUGAACUGCUCUUUUUCUCCUCCUCUCUGCCUGCUGCCUGCCCAAACAUGCUGUUAGCUUUGGAAGGAGAACAUACACAGAUGUAUCCUUUCCAAAAUGUGUACCUGCACCUUGGCAAAAUGGGCUGACACCUUCUGGGGAGCUCGUUAAGGCAACAGGAGAAACUUCAGGUAGCCUGGAGGAGGGCCAGCAGCAUCUUAAUUAUGCUGAAGUGAAACCUGGUUUUAUCAAAACUGUAAAUAAUAAAUGAGCUAUUGGUCUUCAACUGCUGCAUAGUAUUUCUGCAAAGGUUAGUCUCCUUUGGAGAGGGGAAGGUGGGCUUAGGUGUUCAGUCCCUGUAAGUCUCAUACUUUGAGAGAAGCUCCUGUUUUCAGCAGCACAGAAUUAAGUGACAUUUCCCCCAACUACUUUUGAAAAUCCUGAUAAAGAUUUCUUUUUAAUGCUUACUACUGAGACAGGAUAAAAAGCAAAGCAACCCUCACUUUGAACCUGUUCCUCAAAGAUGCUGCAGUGAUUCUGUGAUCUGUGCUGCAACCUUACAGCAGCAGCAACUCUUGGUCCAGCUUUUCAGGAGUAAAUCUCACCUGAUAAUAGAGGGUGCCUCAUAAAUAACUGUGCCAGCACGACAGACACUGGGGAGGGAACCUGCUUUCCACUUGUCUUUCACCUUGCUGCCCCAGAUAAUGGAUUUAGAAACUACAGUAAAUACCCAGACACAGUAAUCUAGUACAGCUCUUUCCCCUUCCUCCACCCUUCUUUCUUGGAAGGACAUCCUUUCUCUGAGCCCUUCCUCUGCUGCCUGUGAGUGUGCACUGGGAUGGAGGCACCGGAGCACAUUUUCUGGAUGUGGUUACAAAAUUAAUACAAGGUGUUGCCAAAACCCCAGGGCAUCCAUGAGUGAAACACCCAACUCCAGUUCUGCCACGCUUGAUUCCAUUUUACAUCAGCUUCUGCACCAGCACAGGUCACACAUGGUGGUCGGGGUUUGGCAGCUCCUGAAUUAUGCUCCUGUGUGGUUCACAGGCUUCCUGACACUCCAGCUAUUCCCUGUGCACUGAGACAUGGACAUCACUGCUCAGACCUAUUCCAGCUCCAGGAACCAUCAGCCACUCAUUUGCAGACUCUCCCUCUUCCUCAACAACUUUCCUUGAACUCUUUACAGCCAGAUUUAUGAAUGCUCCCUUUCUGCUCUGACCCACACACAAAGCACUUUCAAUCCCAAUUUAUUUUCACUGUCCCUGCAGAAUUUAAAAGUUGUCUCGCAAAAAUCUGCCAAGUUCUUGCUUAUUUAAAGAAUUCACAGGCCAUGUGAGACAGCUGACAGAGGAAGUUGCACCAGGACAGUCACAUUUCCUUUCCUUGUCACACAAAGCAUCUGAUGUGGCCUUGUCCUCUCUGAUGAUGCCGAGAUCAGUAAGUGAUAGAAAGCCAGAACACUCUGUCUUGGACAGAAUGAGGUUUAUAGCCUGGUUGCAUCUGCAUGGAAAAAGUGUUUCUGUACAACUCAAACUUCCCCACACACCCCAUCACUACAAAGAAAUGAAACCUGUAUCACUCUUGCUGGUAAGAAUUUCAGUGCAUUCCACCUGGCCAGGAAAGGAAACAAUAGUCACUGCCAGGCUGGGGAGGUUUCUUCAUCACAUUUAACUUCUCCUACACCAGCCUCAGCCACUCACAAAUGUGUGUCCAUAAAGAAAUUACCCCAAAGUUAACUGUCUCGCUGUCUAAUCAAAUUAAAUCAAUGAAUUUUUCUCUAGGUACGGUGGAGAUGAAGGAUUUUCUCCCUCAGCCUGCAGCCGUGCACGAGAUGUGUCUUCCUCUGGAAGCUGGUUUCACAUGGUGGCUUAGAUUUUCCCACUUUGUAUCUAGCACCAUUUGAAAUCAGUGUUCUAGGAGCAAGAAUUACAGCGUGGGAAGAGAUCAAGCAGCUGCUCACUUCACCAACAGCCUCUGCUCCUUAAACCAGCCCUCUCUCCAAAGGGUAUUUUUUUUUUUGCCAGCCAUCCACUCUGUAACAUCAUCUGAUUUCUAGACACUUCUACAACCCCUGUACACCCUCCCAAGCCAGGGCCACAACAGAACAGCCUCCUUCUAAUGUACUUCUACUUAAUAAACAAUGGAUAUGAGUUCAA